CCUCCUCGUACAUCAGAUUGCUAGGCUCUGCCAGGCUCUGGUUGAUACCUUCCCUCACCCGGGCAUCCAAACUGACCUGCAAGAGACAAUACAAAAAUCAGCAUGAGGACCAGAAAGAGGACAUGACCUACCAGAGGCAUUUGCAGCAACCGCACCAGCAGAGACAGCAGGUGUUCGGCCUUGGAUGACCAGGGGCCUGCGGAGGUCCUUCAAUAUGCGCCUGCUGCCGUUUCCUCAUUUCAACUCCACUCACACUCUGAGGCUAAACAAAACCAGGACUUGUCCCGCCUCUCACCCUGUUCCCCCAACUGUCCCAGUGGAAGCCUAUUGUGCUCUUGUGCACAUUACCAUACACAUUCCAGGGAAUCAAGUGAUGCACAGUACAGCCACGGCUGGCUGCACACUGGACGCACCCUUCUGCUGUUAGACAUCUCAUGUCACACCUUGCAUCAAACAUAAACCAGAAAAGCCCAUCUCAGAUCUAUUCUUAUCAAUGAACAACUGUUUCAGUGUUUCAGCAGAGGGUGGAUAUCACACUAGCAUCAACACUCAUGAUCAUUUCCUGCUGUUAGGAAGCUUGGGGAACACCUGGUCUGAGCUACAGAGAGAAAGAGAGGUGGAAACUCUGUCAACCAACAAAAUAUUAAACAUUUAGGCUAUGUGAUCAUUUACCACAGCAAACCUAUGAAAUAUGAGGAAUAGUAUGCAAAUGCGUUGCUGAUUAUAUCAUUAUGUAAAUAAUUGUGUUUUCCAGGCACAUGGGGAACGGUAGCAGGAUACUGUUUGACUUUUAGACACAAAGUGUAACAAAUGCAAAUAUGUGGAUGCCUACGUGCAUGUCUGACAGUGUGUACGUGUGGUAGAACUCAGGUACGGACGUCCACAUGACUGCACAAUUGUACCUUUCCAUUGUCAGUUCAGAUUCUGAUUUGGAUACAGGGGUUCUAUAUCUUGCAAAACAAAAUUUUCAAAAAAAGAUUAAAUUUUUUGUUAUGUAUAUUAAAUUGUCAUGGCCAAACAAUUUAACGAAUGCCUCUGUGAUGACCUACUGUACAAGCAUACUUUGAAUGUAUACUAACAAGUAAACAAGUAGAAUGACUCAUCCUCACAGCAACGCGGUCUGUCAUGUACGCACAUAUCUGCUUGCAUUAACAUAAGCUCACUGCGUAAAUUGAGUGGAAGUUUUGUGACAGUCUUGGCACUUCACAGAAAACUCAUCAAUGAGGGUCGAUUCGUCGAGGG